rnacentral:rRNA from 1 species
UACGAAGGGUGCAAACGUUGCUCGGAAUCAUUGGGCGUAAAGCGCACGUAGGCGGCCUCAUAAGUCGGAUGUGAAAGCCCUCGGCUUAACCGAGGAAGUGCAUUCGAAACUGACGGUCUUGAGUAUGGAAGAGGGUCGCGGAAUUCCCGGUGUAGAGGUGAAAUUCGUAGAUAUCGGGAGGAACACCAGUGGCGAAGGCGGCGACCUGGGCCAAUACUGACGCUGAGGUGCGAAAGCGUGGGGAGCAAACAGG